GCAAAAAACACCAUAAAUCAUUCCCUUGACAUAUUAGAACCCAAAGUCAAAUAAAUGAAAGGCACAAUUAAAGUAGAAAAGAUGGGUCCUCAUGUAAAUAUCAUUUUCUCAUGUCCAACUUAACGCUUCCAAUCUCUUCACAAUGUCCAACUGCCUAGAGGUUUACUCAAGACUAAAAUCCAAUAGCAAAAGUUGUCAAGUGAAAAAAUUAAACCUAAAAG
rnacentral:misc_RNA from 1 species